CCGAGGUUGGGUUGGUUUGUCUCCUCUGGUUCCGGAGCGCGGGUCAGGAUCGUGGUAACUGACGCUAAAGACCCGAGGAGCUGCGCUGUCCUCGCCGCACACAGUUCAGCUCGGGUGUCCACUCCCUUCCGGCCCGCUGCCGGAGAUCCGAGUCCGAUGGCGGCGACCGCGCCCAGGGACUCGGCUAAGUGUGGUGUGACCUUUGAGGACGUGGCCGUGUACUUCUCCUGGAAGGAGUGGAGGCUUCUUGAUGAGGCUCAGAGACGGCUGUACCACCACGUGAUGCUGGAGAACUUUGCACUUGUAUCGUCACUGGGUUGCUGCUGCGGAGCAGAGGAUGAGGAGGCCCCCUUUGCACAGAGCGCUUCUGUAGGCGUUUCACAGACCUGGACGCCCAGGGCUGCUCUGUCUUCCCGGAAGACCCACCCCUGUGAGAUGUGCGGUCCCGUCUUGAGAGACAUUUUCCACUUGGCUGAGCUCCAGGGGAAAGAAAACAGCCAGAAACGGUUGAGGUGUGGGGCCUGCGGGAAACGAUUUUCUUUCAGUGUGAAGUUGGAGCAGCAGCAGCAGCAGGAGCAGCCCACGGGAGCAAAACCAUUCAGAAGCCGUGUGGACAGGGCCUCUGCUGUCAAGAGCUGGGGAUCCAGUGGUUCGGGAAAGCCCUUUACCUGUGGAGAGGUUGAGAAGGACUUGCUGUCUGGCUCGGGGCAUCUGGGGCAAGAGGCCACUCGUACUGGGGAGAAGCCACACACGAUCCCCCACUGCAGGGCAACGAUACGACGCGGAAGCAGUCAUGGCACUUGGGGCGGAUGCAAGAACGCCUUUGGUCCCAUACACACAGAUACUCGGGAGCAGGGUGUCCACCUUGGUAGACAGUCCUUUGUGUGCAGUGAAUGUGGGAAAACUUUCAGGUACAAAUCCUUAUUUGCCAUACACCAGAGAUACCAUACUGGAGCACGACAUCAUGAGUUUGGUCCAUGUGGAAAAUCCCUUGGGCAACGACCAACUCUGAAUGAACAUGGGAAGACUCAGGGUGGAUCCAGGCAGUACACGUGCAGCAAAUGUGGGAAAUCCUUCAGUGGCAAAUGUGUCCCCCUUAAUGUCCAGAAAUUGCCCAGUGGAGGGAAAAAUUAUGUUUGUAGCGGGUGUGUGAAAUCUGUCAGCGGUAGCUCAGUGUUGAAUUCUCAUAGGGUUCAGUCUGGAGAUAGGUUUUAUAAGUGUCGCAUAUGUGCAAAAUCUUUUCCGUCUAUGUCUGCCCUCUGUUAUCAUCAGCGAUCUCACACAGGGAAAAGACAGUAUGAGUGCAGUGAUUGUGGGAAAUCUGUUACCAGUAGUUCUGGCCUCCGUUCUCACCAGAGACUUCACACUGGAGAAAGGCCUUAUAAAUGCAAUGAAUGUGGGAAAUGUUUUGUUCGUAUUACUUACCUCCGUUAUCACCACAGAGUUCACAGUGGAGAAAGGCCUUACGAGUGUAGCAAAUGUGGCAAAUCUUUUAUGAGUCGUAAUGGCCUCCGUUAUCACCAUAGUGUUCACACUGGAGAAAAGCCUUAUAUGUGCCGUGAAUGUGGCAAAUCUUUUAUAAGUAAUUCUGAGCUGUCUUCUCACCAGAGGGUUCACACUGGAGAAAAGCCUUAUAAGUGCAAUGAAUGUGGGAAAUCACUUGCUAGGAGUUCUGCCCUGCGUAGUCAUCAGAGAGUUCACAGUAGAGAAAGGCCUUAUGCAUGCGUUGAAUGUGGGAAAUCUUUUAGCCAAAAAAUUUACCAACGUUACCAUAUCAAGUUUCACUCAGGUGAAAAGCCUUAUGAGUGUAAUGAAUGUGGGAAAUCUUUUACUGCUAGAUGUUCCUUCCGUUUUCACCAGCGAAUUCAUGCUGGACAAAAGCCUUAUCAGUGCAAUGAAUGUGGGAAAUCCUGUUCUACUAUUUAUGGCCUCCGUAGUCACCAGAGAGUUCACACUGGAGAAAGGCCUUAUGAGUGCCAUGAAUGUGGGAAAUCGUUUACCUGUAAUUCUGCUCUCCGUUAUCACCAGAGAGUUCACACUGGAGAAAGGCCUUAUAAGUGUCACGAAUGUGGCAAAUCGCUUAUGAGUAGUACUGGCCUCCGUUAUCACCAGAGAGUUCAUACUGGAGAAAAGCCUUAUGAGUGCCCUGAAUGUGGGAAAUCUUUCACAAGUAGCUCUGGACUCCGUAAUCAUCAGAGAUUUCACACUGGACAAAAGCCUUAUAAGUGCAGUGAAUGUGGGAAAUCUUUUGUCACUAGUAAUGAACAUCGUGAACACCAGAGAGUUCACAGUGGAGAGAGGCCUUAUGAAUGCCCUGAAUGUAGUAAAUCCUUUCCCCGAAAAAGUACCCUCAAUGUACACAAAAAGCUUCACUCAGGUGAACGGCCUUAUGAGUGUACUGAAUGUGGGAAAUCAUUUACUGCUAGUUCUGCCCUCCGUUACCACCAGAGACUUCACACUGGAGAAAGACCGUAUCAGUGCAAUGAAUGUGGGAAAUUUUACACUGCUAGUUCUGCCCUCCGACGUCACAAGAGAGUUCACACUGGAGAAAGGCCAUAUGUGUGUAAUGAAUGUGAGAAAUCAUUUGCUGAUAGUUCUGCCCUCCAGCGUCACAGGAGAGUUCACACUGGAGAGAGGCCCUAUCAAUGCCGUGAAUGUGGGAAAUCUUACAUUAGUUAUAGUGGUUUUACAUAUCAUUACAGCCUUCACACUGCAGGAAGGAUCUAAAACUGCACAGAAGGUGAUUCUUCUUGCCUUGAGGCAUUUAGGCUGCAGGACAAACUCUGAGGCAGCAAGCUACCUGAAUUGGAAUGUGGUUUCCCUGAAUGUCCCCAGUGCAGUGACUUCCCAUAAGAUCCAGUCAUUUUCAGAAAAAUGUGCAUAGUGCUUUCUGAUGUGGGUGCAGUCACCGCAAGAUGGCAGUCACUGGCAGUUUCUGGCACCUGGCAGUUCCCAGUAGUGUGCGUAUGUCAGCACCCUAACAUGGUUAAUGAUGUCGAGCUGUUCGCGUUGUCAACUGCUCAUCCAAAUUCUGGGUACCUGGAACCCCUCGUUCCGUUCCAGUUAGGGCAUGGAUGUGACCAUUGUUGAUCCACAGUGGGCGUUGUGAGUUCUGGGUGGUGACUCGCACAGGAAGGCUCAGUCCCACAGGGGUGUUGCUGGUCUCCUGAUGCUUUGAUGACUAUUUGCAGCUUCCAGGUCAUCACACAGGAAUUGUGUGCCCCGUGUUGCUCUGAUUAAUGUAUCAGUAAGUGCCAUGUUUGUUUAAUUACCUUUGAUCUUAGACAUUGUGUGCACUCGAAGGGGUGGUUUGAAAGCAGCAUCGAGCUCUCCCACAUGAAGGAAUGAGCAGAUCACAUUCCAUCCCAUUCUUGCUGUGUCUCUGAGAGGAACAUUGCAAAUGUAUCAGUAAUACUGAAGUGCAUAUACAUAUGUACAUACUCCAGCCUGUGUGUUAAUUUGCAUUAUAACCCAAGACCUUUGUGAUGAGCUGAAUUGUAUACCCAAAUCCGUAUUUUGCAGUAUGACCCCCAAUACCUCACAAGGUGAGGAUAGUUAGAGCAUCUUUAAAGACAUCAUGAGGUUGAAGUGGGUUAUUAGGAUGGACUCAUGCGGUAUGGCUGGCGCCGUGAGAAGAGGAGAUGAGGAAUCCGGCACCCAGGGAUGACCAUGGGCGGACACGGAAUCCCCAUCUGCAAGCCAAGGAGAGAGGCCUCAGAAGAAACUAACCCAGCUGACAUCUUAUGUUCAAUUUCGAGACUCCAGAUUGAGGCAGGAGACUUCACAACACUGGGCAGAC